GACAUAGGUAUGCUGUUUCCGGCAUCGGUGACAGCCGAGUCAACAAUGAAUUAAUUUGUGAUUAGGUCUUUUUUAUGGUGAACCACAAGCGGUAGGUCAAUCAUAUUUGGUAUGCAGUUGUAUAAGCAUUGGCACAUCUCAUUUCCAUGGAGAUUAUUUGGCCCUGCCCCCUCAGUCAUGGUUUAUUGACUUCAAAAUUUUUGCUUAUUUUACAUGUAUUAGUUUGUGAUUAGGUCAGCUUAUGGGAAACCACAAGUGGUAGGUCAAUGAUAUUUGGAAUGCAGUGGUAUAAGCAUUGGCACAUCUCAUUUCCAAUGAGAUAAUUUGGCGCCACCCCCUUAGUCAUGGUCUAUUGACUUUGAAAAUUUUGGUAAGUUAUCAUGUAUUAGUUUGUGAUUAGGUCAGUUCAAGGGGAACCAUUAGUGGUAGGCCAAUGUUAAUUGGUAUUCAAGUGUGAAAGCAUUGGCACAUCUCAUUUCCAUGGAGAGUAUUUGGCCUCGCCCCUCACAGUCUAAUGACUUUGAAACUUAUCUUAGUUUACAUGUAUUAGUUUGUGAUUAGAUCAGUUUAAGAUGAACUGCUAAUGUUAAAUCAAUGAUAUUUGGUAUGCAAAUUUAUUUACAUUUGCAAGUAUUGUUUCUAUGGAGGUUAUAUAGCCCCACCCCCACUUCGUGCUUCAUUGACUUUGAAACUUUUACAUAGUUUACAAGUUAAUUUUUUGUAUUUAGAUUUUGGAACGACUUAUAAUAAGUCAAUGGUAUUUGGUAUGCAGUUGUAUUAGCAUUGGCACAUCUCAUUUACUCGGAGAUGGUUUAGCCAUGUAACUCAGUCAUGGUUCAUUGACUUUGAAUAUUUGCAUAACUUGUGUAAGAUGUUAAAGUAUUGCUAUUUUGAUUUCAACAUUUGCAUAAUCAAAAUUACAAAAAGGCGAGACACAUCUCUGUGAUAACAGUUAAUUUUAAGAAAGGACUGACUUGAUUUAAAAUUCUUUAGAAACUUGGAAAGAAAAGAUUGACAGCUAGUUAGUUUGUAGACUGCAAGACUGUCCAGGUCCAGUUUGUGACAGAGUGUACAAGUUUGACAUGAUUGUGCAUGGCUUCCAGUUCUGUAUGAUUAAGGGUUGUUCUCUUAAAGUGAGGGAAAAUAGUCCUACCAACUUCCCAAGUUCUAACUAUCUCAAGUACUUCUAGACAUCCUUACUAUUCAUUAGUAUUAAGAUUUAUUUGAAACUAGCCUUUGUAUGACAAAUCUAACGGUUUAUUUUAAACAGGUCAUCCAAAUUUUAAUUAUAAGUUUUAUAAAAAUAGUGUUUUUAUCAUAUGUGCUUGUUAU
rnacentral:lncRNA from 1 species